rnacentral:misc_RNA from 1 species
GAUGAAGAACGUAGCGAAAUGCGACAAGUAAUGUGAAUUGCAGAAUUCAGUGAAUCAUCGAAUCUUUGAACGCACAUUGCGCCCGCCAGUAUUCUGGCGGGCAUGCCUGUUCGAGCGUCAUUUCAACCAUCAAGCCCCCGGCUUGUGUUGGGGACCUGCGGCUGCCGCAGGCCCUGAAAAGCAGUGGCGGGCUCGCUGUCACACCGAGCGUAGUAGCAUACAUCUCGCUCUGGGCGUGCUGCGGGUUCCGGCCGUUAAACCACCUUCAUAACCCAAGGUUGACCUCGGAUCAGGUAGGAAGACCCGCUGAACUUAAGCAUAUCAAUAAGCGGAGGA